UUCAAACGGAUAUUCGGGGAGCUCCGGCGAAAGUUAUCAGAUUUCAAGCUGCCCUGAAUGAAUAGUGUUUUGAGGGACUUAAUCCCUCUCCUCCCCCAACCGUGCGCCACCCACACCGCAGCCACCACACGCACACACGCAUUGAGAGAGGGAGUAAGAGAGCCCUCCCUUUCCCUCUCUAAAUCUCUCCCAAAAGAGUGGGUUUUGGUGGAGAUUGAAGCUCAAGGAUGGAUUUUCAUCUUCUCCAUCUUCUUCCUUGCAUGAGAAGCAAGCUUUGAAGGUAACGAAACGCGUUGGCGAAGACAGUUCGGCAAUCCGACGAGCCGUUACAAAGUUAUUAAAGAAAUGGACGUUUAGGCUUCGUUUUCGCCGGGAGGGCCGAGGCGAUGUCAUAAAAUCGUGGAGAUAGAUUUGCACCGUGGCACAUAAUCGAGGACCUAUAAUUUUCGGGGCUGCGAAGCGGAGCACGGUUGAGGCACAGUUGCGAUAUCGGGCCGUGCCGGAUACGGGUGCCGCAGGAGGCCGAUUACAAGUGUCGACAAGCAAUCGGAACGCGAGUUAAGGUGGGUUGUGCUUACCGAAGCGACUAGGUCGCCUUUAUGUCUAAGCAAAUUAAGAAUCCAUGUUGAUGCAUAUAGAUGUAAAUGAAGUAUGAAAAUGAUGCAUGUUAAUGUAAAUGCCAAGUAGAAAUGCGUAAUGAUAAGAUGCAAGUUAAAUAAUGCUAGAUGAAUGCAUGAGUUAAUUGUUA